rnacentral:tRNA from 1 species
GCGGAUGUAGCCGAAUUGGUAUAGGCGCACGGCUUAGAACCGUGUGGGGCAACCCGUGGAGGUUCGAGUCCUCUCAUCCGCA